AUUGAACGCUGGCGGCAUGCCUAACACAUGCAAGUCGCACGCGAAAGGGGGCAACCCUGAGUAGAGUGGCGGACGGGUGAGUAACGCGUAGGAAUCUACCUGGUAGUGGGGGACAACCCGGUGAAAACCGGGCUAAUACCGCAUACGAUCCACGGAUGAAAGCAGGGGACCGCAAGGCCUUGCGCUAUCAGAUGAGCCUGCGUCGGAUUAGCUAGUUGGUGGGGUAAAGGCCCACCAAGGCGACGAUCCGUAGCUGGUUUGAGUGAACGACCGGCCACGCUGGGACUGAGACACGGCCCAGACUCCUACGGGAGGCAGCAGUGGGGAAUAUUGGACAAUGGGGGCAACCCUGAUCCAGCAAUGCCGCGUGUGUGAAGAAGGCCUUCGGGUUGUAAAGCACUUUCGGUGGGGACAAACAAGGUGGAGCUAACAUCUCCGCCUCUGAUGGUACCCAAAGAAGAAGCACCGGCUAACUCUGUGCCAGCCGCCGCCGUAA
rnacentral:rRNA from 1 species